rnacentral:tRNA from 1 species
GGCCCGUUGGUCAAGUGUUUAAGACACCGCCCUUUCACGGCGGUAACACGGGUUCGAAUCCCGUACGGGGCACCA